AUUGAACGCUGGCGGCAUGCUUUACACAUGCAAGUCGAACGGCAGCGCCGGCUUCGGUCUGGCGGUGAGUGGCGAACGGGUGAGUAAUGCAUCGGAACGUGCCCAGUAGUGGGGGAUAGCCCGGCGAAAGCCGGAUUAAUACCGCAUACGACCUGAGGGUGAAAUCGGGGGACCGAAAGGCCUCGCGUUAUUGGAGUGUCCGAUGUCGGAUUAGCUAGUUGGUGGGGUAAAGGCUUACCAAGGCGACGAUCCGUAGCUGGUCUGAGAGGACGACCAGCCACCCUGGGACUGAGACACGGCCCAGACUCCUAAGAGAGGCAGCAGUCGCGAAUUUUGGACAAUGGGGGCAACCCUGACCCAGCGAUGCAGCGUGUGGGAAGGAGGCCUUCGGGUUGUGAACAGGUUUUGUGCGGGAAGAAAUCCUAUGAGCUAAUACGCCGAGGGGAUGACGGUACCGGAAGAAUAAGCACCGGCUAACUACGUG
rnacentral:rRNA from 1 species